rnacentral:rRNA from 1 species
GAUGAACGCUGGCGGCGUGCCUAAUACAUGCAAGUCGAGCGAACGGACGAGAAGCUUGCUUCUCUGAGGUUAGCGGCGGACGGGUGAGUAACACGUGGAUAACCUACCUAUAAGACUGGGAUAACUUCGGGAAACCGGAUCUAAUACCGGAUGAUAUUUUGAACCGCAUGGUUCAAGAGUGAAAGACGCUCUUGCUGUCACUUAUAGAUGGAUCCGCGCUGCAUUAGCUAGUUGGUAAGGUAACGGCUUACCAAGGCAACGAUGCAUAGCCGACCUGAGAGGGUGAUCGGCCAGACUGGAACUGAGAAACGGUCCAGACUCCUACGGGAGGCAGCAGUAGGGAAUCUUCCGCAAUGGGCGAAAGCCUGACGGAGCAACGCCGCGUGAGUGAUGAAGGUCUUCGGAUCGUAAAACUAUGAUAUCAGGGAAGAACAUAUGUGUAAGUAACUGUGCACAUCAUGACGGUACCUAAUCAGAAAGCCACGGCUAACUCCGUG